UGAGCAACCUGCCCUUGACUCUGGAAUAACAGCUGGAAACAGCUGCUAAUACCGGAUACGACCUCCGAUGGCAUCAUCUGGAGGUGGAAAGCUCCGACGGUCAAGGAUGGGCUCGCGGCCUAUCAGCUUGUUGGUGAGGUAACGGCUCACCAAGGCUUCGACGGGUAGCCGGCCUGAGAGGGUGAUCGGCCACAUUGGAACUGAGACACGGUCCAGAUCCGUACGGGG
rnacentral:rRNA from 1 species